AAGAGAGAGUCAAAAGACCGUGAAACCGCUCAGAGUAUAAGCCGAUGGAGCUUGGAAGGCUUCCGCAGCUCGGGCAUCACUGGUGUGAAGGCAUAGCAAGGAUCGUUAGACGUUGAGUUUGAUGUGCGGGGAUUUGGUUGGGGGUAGGCUUCGGCCGCUGGCCAUUUUCUUGAGCAUGGACGAUCAGAUGUGUCUAAUGCGGUUGCCCACCACGGCACGUUGUGAGGUCACCCACAGGCUCAAACUGCCGAUCGCGCAUGGACGAUGGCAACGAUGCGUCCCUUUGCUACGCGUGUCUAGUCCUGGGUCGGGCGGCGACCGAGAUAACCUGGUAUGAUCCUCUUGCGACGAGCUGCUUUCUGGCCAGACCGACGUCCGGGCGCUUCCACUUGCCAGUGCCAAUCCCAGGCGGUAUGCAAGGUCUCUCAGCCGGGUGGUCUGAGUGGUGUUAAGUCCAGCACCAUCGGUCACGUCUCGAAACACGGGCCAAGGAGUAUAGCAUGUGUGCAAGUCUAAGGGUCUCCCAAAACCCGAAGGCGAAGUGAAAGCAAGACUGUGGCGGGGGAGCGGCGAACCCGCCUGCCUGGCAGAGCUGAUCCUGUUUUCACGGUUAAUUCUUGGUGCAGGCGCAAGCUCCGGGCUCACGUAUAGCACUGGUCAGUGUGGCUGUGUUGUGAGCACCGUUUAGCAUGC
rnacentral:rRNA from 1 species